rnacentral:rRNA from 1 species
GAUGAACGCUGGCGGCGUGCCUAAUACAUGCAAGUCGAGCGAACAGAUGAGGAGCUUGCUCCUCUGACGUUAGCGGCGGACGGGUGAGUAACACGUGGAUAACCUACCUAUAAGACUGGGAUAACUUCGGGAAACCGGAGCUAAUACCGGAUAAUAUAUUGAACCGCAUGGUUCAAUAGUGAAGGACGGUUUUGCUGUCACUUAUAGAUGGAUCCGCGCCGCAUUAGCUAGUUGGUAAGGUAACGGCUUACCAAGGCAACGAUGCGUAGCCGACCUGAGAGGGUGAUCAGCCACACUGGAACUGAGACACGGUCCAGACUCCUACGGGAGGCAGCAGUAGGGAAUCUUGCGCAAUGGGCGAAAGCCUGACGGAGCAACGCCGCGUGAGUGAUGAAGGUCUUCGGAUCGUAAAACUCUGUUAUUAGGGAAGAACAAAUGUGUAAGUAACUAUGCACGUCUUGACGGUACCUAAUCAGAAAGCCACGGCUAACUACGUG